UCUGCGAGAAUGUGGAAAAUUGCGGUAGC
rnacentral:sRNA from 1 species